rnacentral:rRNA from 1 species
UACAGAGGGUGCGAGCGUUAAUCGGAAUUACUGGGCGUAAAGCGUGCGUAGACGGUUAUUUAAGUCGGGUGUGAAAGCCCCGGGCUCAACCUGGGAAUUGCAUUCGAGACUGAAUAGCUAGGGUACGGUAGAGGGAAGCGGAAUUUCCGGUGUAGCGGUGAAAUGCGUAGAUAAUCGGAAGGAACAUCAGUGGCGAAAGCGGCUCCUGG